AUUGAACGCUGGCGGCAUGCUUUACACAUGCAAGUCGAACGGUAACAGGCCGCAAGGUGCUGACGAGUGGCGAACGGGUGAGUAAUGCAUCGGAACGUGCCCAGUCGUGGGGGAUAACUACUCGAAAGAGUAGCUAAUACCGCAUACGAUCUAUGGAGGAAAGCGGGGGACCGUAAGGCCUCGCGCGAUUGGAGCGGCCGAUGUCAGAUUAGGUAGUUGGUGGGGUAAAGGCUCACCAAGCCAACGAUCUGUAGCUGGUCUGAGAGGACAACCAGCCACACUGGGACUGAGACACGGCCCAGACUCCUACGGGAGGCAGCAGUGGGGAAUUUUGGACAAUGGGCGCAAGCCUGAUCCAGCAAUGCCGCGUGCAGGAAGAAGGCCUUCGGGUUGUAAACUGCUUUUGUACGGAACGAAACGGCUCUGGUUAAUACCCGGGGCUAAUGACGGUACCGUAAGAAUAAGCACCGGCUAACUACGUG
rnacentral:rRNA from 1 species